CAAGGGCGGCCGCGGGGCUGUCGCUGGAGGCCCCGUCCCUGCGCAGGGCGCAUCAGGUUCCAGGGAGCCGGGAUGGCGCCCGGCCCCAUCGGGCCG